AGAAUUGAAGAUUGAAAGAAGUAGAGUCCUGAUGGCCGGCAUUUGCAGCCUGAAAAGAAACAUAUGUUCUCGAGAUUAUUGAAUCUCUUCUGAGACAUGGAUCGGCCCAUCUGAAGCUUAGAUUGACACCACACCCACACCCCUGCAUGGAUUGAGCACCUUCGCCCAUUUCUCAGCCUGAAGCAGCUAAGAUCGAGACCAUCGCCAGUGCUCCUGAUGUAAUUUGGACUGAUAUGGGGGAAGUGGGAAAGUGGUUGAUGAAUUAUUGUUAAAAUUACAACUCUAUUACUAGAGUUAGAAAAAAAUGCAAACAUUACUGUGUGUUUAAGAUUUGGGAUGGAAAUUAUUAAAAUUGGUUGCUGUUAAGGAAGCUAUAAAAUGUUUAUAAUAUCUAUGUUCACUUCAGAAUAUGUAAUUGUUUAAGGUAUUUGAUUUGAUUUGAUUUGAUUUGAUUGAUUUUAGGAAACUCCUCCUGUACUAGACUGUUAUGUAUAGGAACUUUAAUUCACUCUUGGGAUUUAUAUGUGGAUGGUUAUUUGACUGUUUACUUUUUUUUUUUUUUGGAUGAUUCCUUUCCAUGAGGAAAAAAAAAGGAGAGGAAGAGAUAGGGAACUAGGGAAACUGGUGGAUUUUUCUCAAAAUACCUAAAAGAGUGGGAACCCUUAGUUUUCUUUCACUUUUGCCUUAUGUACUUCUGCCCCACCCCCUAUACCACCAGUUCAGAUUGAAUUGGAAGUCCUUAAACAAUCCUUUUUGUUUUUAUUAUGUUUUAGCUUUGAAACCCCUUAUUCUGUGGAAUUGCCCUGGCAGACUCAGUUUUGGGAACUAUUCUGUUUUAAAGAAAUCUCUAAGAUAAAGACACUUGUCUCGGGACUGGCAAUCUCCAGCUCUGUAACCCCAGUUUCUUAACUGGUACCUCAGCAUUUUUAAUAACAUUGCCCUUUUGAGAUCAAGCCUUUAAAGUUUGGGGUUUGCCUGCCUUCAUGUUCUAACUGUGCAUGCUCUGAUAGCUCUGCUCAGAAAUCUGUAUUCUAGUAGCAGCCCUGUCUGUCCCCCUGGGUGGGGACAGGUGGAGCUACACUAAGCCUCACCCUUCUCCCCUAGAGUGGGAUGCCCCUCUGAAUGGGCAGCAUGACUGUCUUGAGCCCUGCUACUCCCUUUAUAAGCAGAAGCUGAGUUAAGUGCACAAAUGACUGCAGACCACCUAACACAGUGAACUGUCCAUCUCAAACUGGAUUCUCUGGCUGAGAUGAGGGCCUUUGUACUGCUGAUAACUCUGGGGUUGUCAGGAAGAGACUUGCCCUUGCUAUAAGUCCUUGUAUUUUCUAGUUUCAUUUUGACUUAUUUGCCUCACAUUGGAUUGGUCAAAAUUAUGGUGCUGAGACCUCCCAGGUAUCUUUGGGAGGUAAUUCAAUAAUUCAAAUAUUCAGAAGAAGAGUGUGUAAUGUUGUGCCUCAGUUUCCCUAGAUUGUCAUCUUUAUUUAUCUUUGUAUUUUUAUGUUUGCCAAAUGCCAAUCUGUUCUGUGAUAACUGUUUCUAAGAUAGUUGGUGGAAGCAAUUUUUAUGGUAUGAACUUAUUGCAAUCAAUGGUAUUAUCCUGUUGCUGCUAUGUCUAUCCUGUAUAAUUACAUUAGUAACCAGAAUAGUUCAGUGGUCCCUAUCAAAAUAUUGCAUACAGAAGAUGCUAUUAAAAUGAUAAUUCUUCAGAGAAAAGACUGGAAUGUAUUAAAGAGGGAUGAUCUUGAUUGUGAACUUGAUAAACAAUGUAUAGAUAUAUUAACUGAUUUUGAAAAGUGUGUAAGUUCUUCAUAGAAAUAUGAUAAAAAUCAUUUACAUGUUAGAAGGGGGGAGCUGUGGGGAAAAGAUAAGGUGAAGAACUUACAGGAAUGUAUGAAUUCUUUUUCUGUAUUUUAUUAUUUCUGUGUCUCCCCUAUGACCUGUAUAUGUGCAGGCUCAUAUCUACUUGAGCCUUGGCCAGCUAGAAACAUAUUUACUUAACCUGAACUGAUGACAUUUAUUGGUAUUUGACAUUUAUCAAUAUUUAGUCUAUUAGCUGGACCACUGUCUGCUUGAUUAAGCCUGAAGGCCUGACUUUGUUUCCCAGAAAUCAGGAGAUUUCAGGGAAACAGAAACCUUCCAUUCCAAUCUCCCCAACUAGCAACAACCAAUUAGAUGCUUCCCCCUCCCCUUUCAAUGCUCUCUUACUUGUGAUGUAAUUUCUUGUAUAAAAGCUAUGUAUCUUUACUACUUCUUUAGCCCUCCUACCGCGAGCUUAUCUUGCGAUGGGACGGCUCAUCCUCCGGAGGUUUUUCAAUAAACAACUUUUCUGCCUUCUA